rnacentral:rRNA from 1 species
GACGAACGCUGGCGGCGUGCUUAACGCAUGCAAGUCGAACGGAAAGGCCCUGCUUUUGUGGGGUGCUCGAGUGGCGAACGGGUGAGUAACACGUGAGUAACCUGCCCUUGACUUUGGGAAAACUUCAGGAAACUGGGGCUAAUACCGGAUAGGAGCUCCUGCUGCAUGGUGGGGGUUGGAAAGUUUCGGCGGUUGGGGAUGGACUCGCGGCUUAUCAGCUUGUUGGUGGGGUAGUGGCUUACCAAGGCUUUGACGGGUAGCCGGCCUGAGAGGGUGACCGGCCACAUUGGGACUGAGAUACGGCCCAGACUCCUACGGGAGGCAGCAGUGGGGAAUAUUGCACAAUGGGCGGAAGCCUGAUGCAGCAACGCCGCGUGCGGGAUGACGGCCUUCGGGUUGUAAACCGCUUUCGCCUGUGACGAAGCGUGAGUGACGGUAAUGGGUAAAGAAGCACCGGCUAACUACGUG